CCAAUAGCGUAUAUUAAAGUUGUUGCAGUUAAAAAGCUCGUAGUUGAAUUUCGGGAUCAAUAUGUCGGUCGUGCCUCGGUACGUACUGGUGUCAUUGGUUUCUCCCUUCUGAAGAACCUUGAUGUCAUUAAUUUGGUGUCUUGGGGAAUCAGGACUGUUACUUUGAAAAAAUUAGAGUGUUUAAAGCAGGCUCGCGCUUGAAUACAUUAGCAUGGAAUAAUGAAAUAGGACGUUUGAUUCUAUUUUGUUGGUUUCUAGGAUCGACGUAGUGAUUAAUAGGGAUAGUUGUGGGCAUUAGUAUUCAAUUGUCAGAGGUGAAAUUCUUGGAUUUAUUGAAGACUAACUACUGCGAAAGCAUUUGCCAAGGAUGUUUUCAUUAAUCAAGAACGAAAGUUAGGGGAUCGAAGACGAUCAGAUACCGUCGUAGUCUUAACCAUAAACUAUGCCGACUAGGGAUCGGAUGAUGUUGAUUUUUUAAUGACUCAUUCGGCGCCUUACG
rnacentral:rRNA from 1 species